rnacentral:rRNA from 1 species
UACGUAGGGUGCGAGCGUUAAUCGGAAUUACUGGGCGUAAAGCGUGCGCAGGCGGUUCGUUGUGUCGGCGGUGAAAGCCCCGGGCUUAACCUGGGAAAGGCCGUUGAAACUGGCGGACUGGAGUGUGGCAGAGGGGGGUGGAAUUCCGCGUGUAGCAGUGAAAUGCGUAGAGAUGCGGAGGAACACCGAUGGCGAAGGCAGCCCCCUGGGCUAACACUGACGCUCAGGCACGAAAGCGUGGGGAGCAAACAGG